AGUUCUUUAAAUUUAAAGAAUUUGGCGGUAUUUUAGUCUUUUCAGAGGAACCUGUUCUAUAAUUGAUAUUCCACGAUUAAUUUUACUUGAUUUAGAAAUUUAUAUAUCGUCGUAGAUUAAAUAUUUUUAAAGAAUUAAAUAUUUAAGAUUUAUUAAAAUUAAAAUAAAUCAGAUCAAGGUGUAGUUUAUAAUUAAGUAGUAAUGGGUUACAUUAAAGUUAUUUAUGAAUAUAAUUUUUUAAAAUUUAUUGAAAUAGGAUUUGAAAGUAAUUAUUUAUCUAUAUAAAUAAUGAGUUAGUUCUAAAAUAUGU
rnacentral:rRNA from 1 species